AAUCAACGCUGGCGGCGUGCCUCAGACAUGCAAGUCGAACGAUUAAAGCUCUCUUCGGAGAGUGCAUAGAGUGGCGCACGGGUGAGUAACACGUAAGUAAUCUACCCUCGAGUGGGGAAUAACGUCCGGAAACGGGCGCUAAUACCGCAUAAUGCAGCGGCAUCAUAAGAUGACAGUUGUUAAAGAUUUAUCGCUUGAGGAGGAGCUUGCGGCAGAUUAGCUAGUUGGUAAGGUAACGGCUUACCAAGGCUACGAUCUGUAACCGGUCUUAGAGGACGGUCGGUCACACUGACACUGAAUAACGGGUCAGACUCCUACGGGAAGCAGCAGUCGGGAAUUUUGGGCAAUGGGCGAAAGCCUGACCCAGCAACGCCGCGUGAAGGAUGAAGUAUUUCGGUAUGUAAACUUCGAAAGAAUAGGAAGAAUUAAUGACGGUACUAUUUAUAAGGUCCGGCUAACUACGUGCCAGCAGCCGCCGCGGUAA
rnacentral:rRNA from 1 species